GUUCAAAGGUCUCUUAUUGCAAAUUUGCAGCCGAUUUUGUUUGCAGGGUGGACAGAGGUGCUGAGCUGGGGACAGGGUUCAGCGAUUGGGAUUUAGGUGGAUGUGGCAGGUAAUAGGCAACUGAACAAUCAGAGACUGCAGGGAAGAUGAGGGAGACGAAUUUCUGCCGCCGAUGAGCUGGUUGAACGUUGAGUCUCAGGUGAAUCAGUGGGAGCAGGUUGAUACAGGCCACACCCAGCUGAACAAAUACACACCCCCGGGCUGACCACAGUGAAGAGGCCUCAUCCUAACAGUAGACCUGAGGAUGUUUAGUUUGUUUACAGCGUCCAUGUUUUUUCCACAUGAGAACAACAAAGUACGGAC